rnacentral:tRNA from 2 species
UAGCUCAGCUGGAUAGAGUACCUGGCUACGAACCAGGCGGUCAGAGGUUCGAAUCCUCU